UACGUAGGAGGCAAGCGUUGUCCGGAAUUACUGGGCGUAAAGCGCGUGUAGGUGGUGGGACAAGUCUGCUGUGAAAGCGCCUGGCUUAACCGGGCGAGGUCGGCGGAAACUGUCCGACUAGAGGACGGUAGAGGGGGGUGGAAUUCCCGGUGUAGUGGUGAAAUGCGUAGAGAUCGGGAGGAACACCGGUGGCGAAGGCGGGUCUCUGGGACAGUUCCUGACGCUGAGGCACGAAGGCCAGGGGAGCAAACGGG
rnacentral:rRNA from 1 species